GGUUAAGCGACUAAGCGUACACGGUGGAUGCCCUGGCAGUCAGAGGCGAUGAAGGACGUGCUAAUCUGCGAUAAGCGUCGGUAAGGUGAUAUGAACCGUUAUAACCGGCGAUUUCCGAAUGGGGAAACCCAGUGUGUUUCGACACACUAUCAUUAACUGAAUCCAUAGGUUAAUGAGGCGAACCGGGGGAACUGAAACAUCUAAGUACCCCGAGGAAAAGAAAUCAACCGAGAUUCCCCCAGUAGCGGCGAGCGAACGGGGAGCAGCCCAGAGCCUGAAUCAGUGUGUGUGUUAGUGGAAGCGUCUGGAAAGGCGCGCGAUACAGGGUGACAGCCCCGUACACAAAAAUGCACAUGCUGUGAGCUCGAUGAGUAGGGCGGGACACGUGGUAUCCUGUCUGAAUAUGGGGGGACCAUCCUCCAAGGCUAAAUACUCCUGACUGACCGAUAGUGAACCAGUACCGUGAGGGAAAGGCGAAAAGAACCCCGGCGAGGGGAGUGAAAAAGAACCUGAAACCGUGUACGUACAAGCAGUGGGAGCACGCUUAGGCGUGUGACUGCGUACCUUUUGUAUAAUGGGUCAGCGACUUAUAUUCUGUAGCAAGGUUAACCGAAUAGGGGAGCCGAAGGGAAACCGAGUCUUAACUGGGCGUUAAGUUGCAGGGUAUAGACCCGAAACCCGGUGAUCUAGCCAUGGGCAGGUUGAAGGUUGGGUAACACUAACUGGAGGACCGAACCGACUAAUGUUGAAAAAUUAGCGGAUGACUUGUGGCUGGGGGUGAAAGGCCAAUCAAACCGGGAGAUAGCUGGUUCUCCCCGAAAGCUAUUUAGGUAGCGCCUCGUGAAUUCAUCUCCGGGGGUAGAGCACUGUUUCGGCAAGGGGGUCAUCCCGACUUACCAACCCGAUGCAAACUGCGAAUACCGGAGAAUGUUAUCACGGGAGACACACGGCGGGUGCUAACGUCCGUCGUGAAGAGGGAAACAACCCAGACCGCCAGCUAAGGUCCCAAAGUCAUGGUUAAGUGGGAAACGAUGUGGGAAGGCCCAGACAGCCAGGAUGUUGGCUUAGAAGCAGCCAUCAUUUAAAGAAAGCGUAAUAGCUCACUGGUCGAGUCGGCCUGCGCGGAAGAUGUAACGGGGCUAAACCAUGCACCGAAGCUGCGGCAGCGACGCUUAUGCGUUGUUGGGUAGGGGAGCGUUCUGUAAGCCUGUGAAGGUGUGCUGUGAGGCAUGCUGGAGGUAUCAGAAGUGCGAAUGCUGACAUAAGUAACGAUAAAGCGGGUGAAAAGCCCGCUCGCCGGAAGACCAAGGGUUCCUGUCCAACGUUAAUCGGGGCAGGGUGAGUCGACCCCUAAGGCGAGGCCGAAAGGCGUAGUCGAUGGGAAACAGGUUAAUAUUCCUGUACUUGGUGUUACUGCGAAGGGGGGACGGAGAAGGCUAUGUUGGCCGGGCGACGGUUGUCCCGGUUUAAGCGUGUAGGCUGGUUUUCCAGGCAAAUCCGGAAAAUCAAGGCUGAGGCGUGAUGACGAGGCACUACGGUGCUGAAGCAACAAAUGCCCUGCUUCCAGGAAAAGCCUCUAAGCAUCAGGUAACAUCAAAUCGUACCCCAAACCGACACAGGUGGUCAGGUAGAGAAUACCAAGGCGCUUGAGAGAACUCGGGUGAAGGAACUAGGCAAAAUGGUGCCGUAACUUCGGGAGAAGGCACGCUGAUAUGUAGGUGAAGUCCCUCGCGGAUGGAGCUGAAAUCAGUCGAAGAUACCAGCUGGCUGCAACUGUUUAUUAAAAACACAGCACUGUGCAAACACGAAAGUGGACGUAUACGGUGUGACGCCUGCCCGGUGCCGGAAGGUUAAUUGAUGGGGUCAGCGCAAGCGAAGCUCUUGAUCGAAGCCCCGGUAAACGGCGGCCGUAACUAUAACGGUCCUAAGGUAGCGAAAUUCCUUGUCGGGUAAGUUCCGACCUGCACGAAUGGCGUAAUGAUGGCCAGGCUGUCUCCACCCGAGACUCAGUGAAAUUGAACUCGCUGUGAAGAUGCAGUGUACCCGCGGCAAGACGGAAAGACCCCGUGAACCUUUACUAUAGCUUGACACUGAACAUUGAGCCUUGAUGUGUAGGAUAGGUGGGAGGCUUAGAAGUGUGGACGCCAGUCUGCAUGGAGCCGACCUUGAAAUACCACCCUUUAAUGUUUGAUGUUCUAACGUUGACCCGUAAUCCGGGUUGCGGACAGUGUCUGGUGGGUAGUUUGACUGGGGCGGUCUCCUCCUAAAGAGUAACGGAGGAGCACGAAGGUUGGCUAAUCCUGGUCGGACAUCAGGAGGUUAGUGCAAUGGCAUAAGCCAGCUUGACUGCGAGCGUGACGGCGCGAGCAGGUGCGAAAGC
rnacentral:rRNA from 1 species